ACCUUUUUCGAAAGCGAUUCGCGCAACAACGCGAUGAGCCCGGAUCGUUUAGAUUGAUUCACGUGUCCUCGGAUCGUCCUUGAAUGUCUUCUCACGCUCCACGAACUCGCGGUGGAUCGAACUACAAACGAGCGCGAUCGCAAAUCCACCGUGCAAGUCCCUCUAGAAUAAUAGGUCAAUGGAGGAUGUGGUUUCUCUCUAUUAUUUUCUUAUUCUCUCUCUUUUUUCGUUCCUUUUUUGUACAUCGUUUCAUGUGGGAUCGCCCGUCUAUUUAUAAGGAAUUCCAAAAUCCUAAUAGCGUUAGAGAUAAGGCCAAAUCGAUUAUUAUUUGUUAUCCUAAUAUGAUUAGAUUUAUCUCUAAUUAGCUUUCCAAUUUGAAAGCGAGAUUAAUCCUAAUCCAAUUAGAUAUAAUAUCCGUCGGAUCGAACCCGCUUAUGAGCGUACCCGAUUCGAUUUAACCGAAUGCCAACAUCUCCCACUCGCACAUGACGGGAUCGAUGCCAUCGUAACCACUUCCUCAACAUCACACCACUAUUAAUUCUAUUCAUACAGGGAAAUGAACAGUGCGACCGCCGAGUCAACCUGCAUUUUGGGAGCUCUAUACUAGAAACCGCAUCCGGCCAGCAUAGAGACAUCAACCCUCAAAAAGAGAAAAAAAAAUAUUAGACUCGUGAUGCCCUAGACCAUUGAAUUACAUCAGGUUCAGCAUCUCUAAUCCCUCAAAGAGCCAUGCUAACCGCAAUUGCGCACAUUAUGACACUAUACUCAUAAUUAUUUCGCUAUACUGAAGCGAUACAACCUGUCGACAAUGAGUCAAAGUGUUUAGUGUAAUUCAACUAGUCUUCCUUGAGCCCUCAUGCCACUGAGUUGAGAACUGAUUGCUUUCCCAGCAAUGCCCCGUAAAGCCGCAUCACUCAUAGCCGUAGGUAACAUGCCAAAGUAGCAACAUCAAUUCUUUCACUUAAUGACAUAGUCAAAAGUUACUAAGGGCAUCUAUCAUAUAUAGGACAUCGUCUCAAAAAAAAAUGCCCGUAAGAACUCACACGAUGAGGAAGCAGGGAUCCAUUCACUCAUCUUCUUUAUUUAGUCGCCCAGCACAUGUAGUAUGAAAUACAUGCUAUAACAGAGAAUCCCAAUAAGCGUAUGUCUUUCUCAAUAUCAUACGGAUCUUAGCUCAGUCACUCCCGAAGUGUCUAGCCUGAGUUCUCCAUUUGCUCGCUAUCUCAAGCGUCAAACGGUGAGCUCACAUCCGGCUCUCAAUAUGCAGGCCAUACGAAUCGUGGGACUUUUCGUAUGCGGUCUCAUUAAUGACCUCAUCUUGGUGCCAACCAAGGCGGCUUCCAUUAAUGCCUCAAUUUUCGCUCGCUCUCUACAGCGCCGAAAGGUAUGAUUGCCCGUGUGAGAGGGCCAAUCGGCCUGCGACAUACUAUCAAUCAGUUUAAUAACAAUGCAUGUGUACUAAUUUUACCAAAUAUCUUUUCCAGAAUAAUAAUUUGUAAUUAAAUAACCAAAAAAUUAUAAAAAAUAAUCGACUGUCUACACAAUCAAAUCCUACGGAGUCCAAGAGCUUUAACAUGAGCCCAAAAAUAAUUCUCUAACAAUAGGCUUAGUUAGAGAAUCUACAACCACGCGACUCGUAGAUAUGUGUUCCAGGAUUAUUUUCUUCUGCGCCACUGCCUUCGAGUGGUCCAAUCCCAGAUUGGACGGAAAAUGGCUAACCAGGCCCACGGCAUAGCAUAUAUCAGGCCGAGUACACAUCAUAGCAUACAUCAGGCUCCCGACCGCAUUAGCAUAUGGAAUCCGAUUCAUCUUGUCCUUCUCUUCAGAAGUUUUAGGGCACUGAUGCAAGAUUCGCAAUAAGAUAUCCAUCACACAUCAAACAAGACACCUCACAAAAUCGAUUUAGGGUUUCGUUUUUCUUAUAAAACACAAAACCAUAUUAAAUCAAGCUUUGUAAAUUUAAUCUUUCAACAUAGGUGUUUUAAGAUGUGUAAAAAUCAUACAAAGAUGUCCACCUUUGAAAAAAGGCCAUUAACGCUCAUAUACAUGCAAAAUAAAAUCCAAAUUUUGAUAGAUUUAAUUUUUAACGCAUGUAAUCUCGUUAGAACAUGAUUUAGGGCACGAAAUCAACCAACAAGGCUCUGAUACCAAUGUAGAAAGCAGCGGAAGUUUUCGAUUCGUACCUUUUUCGGAAGCGAUUCGCGCAACAACGCGAUGAGCCCGGAUCGUUUAGAUUGAUUCACGUGUCCUCGGAUCGUCCUUGAAUGUCUUCUCACGCUCCACGAACUCGCGGUGGAUCGAACUACAAACGAGCGCGAUCGCAAAUCCACCGUGCAAGUCCCUCUAGAAUAAUAGGUCAAUGGAGGAUGUGGUUUCUCUCUAUUAUUUUCUUAUUCUCUCUCUUUUUUCGUUCCUUUUUUGUACAUCGUUUCAUGUGGGAUCGCCCGUCUAUUUAUAAGGAAUUCCAAAAUCCUAAUAGCGUUAGAGAUAAGGCCAAAUCGGUUAUUAUUUGUUAUCCUAAUAUGAUUAGAUUUAUCUCUAAUUAGCUUUCUAAUUUGAAAGCGAGAUUAAUCCUAAUCCAAUUAGAUAUAAUAUCCGUCGGAUCGAACCCGCUUAUGGGCGUACCCGAUUCGAUUUAACCGAAUGCCAA
rnacentral:lncRNA from 1 species